rnacentral:rRNA from 1 species
UACGUAGGGGGCGAGCGUUGUCCGGAGUUACUGGGCGUAAAGGGCACGCAGGCGGUGCGGCGCGUUUCGCGUGACAGCGGAGGGCUUAACUCUCCGAGGAUGCGAAAGACGGCGGCACUUGAGGGCCAGAGAGGGACACGGAAUUCCGGGUGGAGUGGUGAAAUGCGUAGAGAUCCGGAGGAACACCGAAGGCGAAGGCAGUGUCCUGGCUGGUGACUGACGCUGAGGUGCGAAAGCUAGGGAGCGAACGGG